AGAGUUUGAUCCUGGCUCAGGACGAACGCUGGCGGCGUGCUCAACACAUGCAAGUCGAACGGUGACCUGCGGAGCUUGCUCCGCGGCGAUCAGUGGCGAACGGGUGAGUAACACGUGAGUAACCUGCCCCAGACUCUGGAAUAACCCCGGGAAACCGGAGCUAAUACCGGAUACGAGACAGAGAGGCAUCUCUACUGUCUGGAAAGUUUUUCGGUCUGGGAUGGACUCGCGGCCUAUCAGCUUGUUGGUGAGGUAACGGCUCACCAAGGCGACGACGGGUAGCCGGCCUGAGAGGGCGACCGGCCACACUGGGACUGAGACACGGCCCAGACUCCUACGGGAGGCAGCAGUGGGGAAUAUUGCACAAUGGGCGAAAGCCUGAUGCAGCGACGCCGCGUGAGGGAUGACGGCCUUCGGGUUGUAAACCUCUUUCAGCAGGGAAGAAGCGCAAGUGACGGUACCUGCAGAAGAAGCACCGGCUAACUACGUGCCAGCAGCCGCGGUAAUAC
rnacentral:rRNA from 1 species